rnacentral:rRNA from 1 species
AUUGAACGCUGGCGGCAUGCUUUACACAUGCAAGUCGAACGGUAACAGGCCGCAAGGUGCUGACGAGUGGCGAACGGGUGAGUAAUGCAUCGGAACGUGCCCAGUCGUGGGGGAUAACGCAGCGAAAGCUGUGCUAAUACCGCAUACGAUCUAUGGAUGAAAGCGGGGGACCGUAAGGCCUCGCGCGAUUGGAGCGGCCGAUGUCAGAUUAGGUAGUUGGUGGGGUAAAGGCCCACCAAGCCAACGAUCUGUAGCUGGUCUGAGAGGACGACCAGCACACUGGGACUGAGACACGGCCCAGACUCCUACGGGAGGCAGCAGUGGGGAAUUUUGGACAAUGGGCGCAAGCCUGAUCCAGCAAUGCCGCGUGCAGGAAGAAGGCCUUCGGGUUGUAAACUGCUUUUGUACGGAACGAAACGGUCUGGGUUAAUACCCUGGGCUAAUGACGGUACCGUAAGAAUAAGCACCGGCUAACUACGUGCCAGCCGCCGCGGUAACAC